rnacentral:tRNA from 1 species
UGGUUGUGGCUAAAUGGUAGAGCACUCACUUUACAAGUGAGAGGUAGGGGGAUCAAACCUCACUACCACCAAC